GCUAACUACGUGCCAGCAGCCGCGGUAACACGUAGGGGGCAAGCGUUGUCCGGAUUUAUUGGGCGUAAAGAGCUCGUAGGUGGCUGAGUAAGUCGGAUGUCAAAUCCCCAGGCUCAACCUGGGAUCCCAUCCGAUACUGCUCUGGCUAGAGUCCGGUAGGGGAGCGUGGAAUUCCUGGUGUAGCGGUGAAAUGCGCAGAUAUCAGGAGGAACACCAGCGGCGAAGGCGGCGCUCUGGGCCGGUACUGACACUGAGGAGCGAAAGCGUGGGUAGCAAACAGGAUUAGAUACCCCUGUAGUC
rnacentral:rRNA from 1 species